rfam:Pantoea sp. PSNIH1, complete genome.
CGUAUUAUGCCGCUGCCAGCCCGCACCCUGACAGGACUGAUGCGGGCGGCCUGUGGAGCUUUCACAGCGCAAAACUCCUGAUCGGAUCUCA